GACGAACGCUGGCGGUAUGCUUAACACAUGCAAGUCGAACGAGAAGCUUUUUAAUGAUCCUUCGGGUGAACUAAGAAGUGGAAAGUGGCGAACGGGUGAGUAACGCGCGGGUAACCUGCCUCAUGGAAAGGAAUAGCCUCGGGAAACUGGGAGUAAAGCCUUAUAUUAUUGAGUUGUCGCAUGGCAAUUCGAUGAAAACUCCGGUGCCAUGAGAUGGACCCGCGUCCCAUUAGCUAGUUGGUGAGAUAACAGCCCACCAAGGCAACGAUGGGUAACCGGUCUGAGAGGGCGAACGGUCACACUGGAACUGAGACACGGUCCAGACUCCUACGGGAGGCAGCAGUGGGAAUAUUGCGCAAUGGGGGAAACCCUGACGCAGCAAUACCGCGUGAGUGAAGAAGGUUUUCGGAUCGUAAAACUCUUUUAUUGGGGAAGAAGAAGUGACGGUACCCAAUGAAGAAGUCCCGGCUAACUACGUGCCAGCCGCCGCAGUAAUAC
rnacentral:rRNA from 1 species